CGUGUGUCCAAAAGAAAAUAGUAUUUCACCCUUUUGCAUCACCUCGUUUGUUCUAGAAACCCUCGCCGGCGCCGCCCAGUCAUGCUGCGCCGCUCCACUCGUGCUUCGUCGCCGGCAACUGGUGGGAUGGACACUGCGGGCAUGGAGUUUUUGCUUGACGCGGUUGACAGGUUCCCAAGAGAGGAAUUCGCUGACAGCCUUGAACAGCCGGAUCCGGUUUCGCUGCAUUACCUGAUAGGAAACAGGGCAGUGAAUGCAGAAACAGGUGAUUCUGAUGGUGGGUCUGGCAUGGCUCAAAAGGAUGGCGAGGAUGGGGCGGCUGUACCACGAGAAGGCGCCCGUUGGCGACAUGCUGCUUCACCGACGAGGUCAGCUUAGCCCACUGACAGAGUAAAUCCAGAGGCCCUGGGUUGACCAAAAGAGCUAUGGAAGUGGCGAUCAGCAAGACCUACCCUGGCACCAUGCACCGAUGGUGCAAGUGUCAUGUCCUGAAGAAAGCAAAAGAAACAUUGGGUCCACUGUACACGAAGAAGAGUGAUUUUCAGGCUGAAUUUCACAAGGUUGUGAACCACAUAUGUUAACUGAGGACGAGUAUGAAGCAGGUUGGGGAUUGUUGUUGGAUAAAUACAAUCUGGGGUCUCACACCUACAUGACCCAAAAUAUAUGAAACCAGGAGGAAAUGGGCAAAACCAUACUUCAGAGGUGUGUUUUGCGCGAAAAUGACAAGCACCCAGCGAAGUGAGAGCUCAAACCACGUGUUGAAAUCGUAUAUGCCCCCCUGCAAGCCCAAUGCAUGUUUUCAUUAGGCAAAACAUGAGGUUACAGUUUGACCGCGAGCGGGACGAAAGUUAUGAGGAGAAG